rnacentral:rRNA from 1 species
AACGAACGCUGGCGGCAGGCCUAACACAUGCAAGUCGAGCGCCCUUUCGGGGUAGCGGCGGACGGGUGAGUAACGCGUGGGAAUAUGCCCUUCUCUACGGAAUAGCCUCGGGAAACUGAGAGUAAUACCGUAUACGCCCUGUGGGGGAAAGAUUUAUCGGGGAAGGAUUAGCCCGCGUUGGAUUAGGUAGUUGGUGGGGUAAUGGCCUACCAAGCCGACGAUCCAUAGCUGGUUUGAGAGGAUGAUCAGCCACACUGGGACUGAGACACGGCCCAGACUCCUACGGGAGGCAGCAGUGGGGAAUCUUAGACAAUGGGGGCAACCCUGAUCUAGCCAUGCCGCGUGAGUGAUGAAGGCCUUAGGGUUGUAAAGCUCUUUCAGCUGGGAAGAUAAUGACGGUACCAGCAGAAGAAGCCCCGGCUAACUCCGUG